CAAAUAUUCCCAUGGGAUAUCCCAUGUUAUUUGCCGUGGCCAUUCCCCUGGCCAAGGCCAUAUCCAUGCCCUCCUCCACGGCCACGACCAUGUCCACCACCUCCACGACCACGCUCUCCCCCACCUCCACCACCGUCCCCAUCCCCGCCUCCUCCUGCCCCGACAACGAGCUGCUCGGCUAGUGACAAAGAAAAGGUGAAGACGUGCAUGUUCAACACAACUUCAAUUGAUGCAUGUUGUCCGACAUUCAAGAGCAUACUUGGCACUAGUUGCCCUUGCUAUAAGUAUGCUGAGGAUUUGGACAAUCAAGUCUUGAUCACUCUUGAAGCUUAUUGUGAUGUCGAUAGCCCUUGCAAGAUGGUAAGGUUUCAUUUUUAUCUAUCAACUAUGAUUUUGACACUCGUAGCAUCUUAUAUAUUUCUAUCGUAGUAUCUUAUAUAUUUCUCUUAAUACAAUUCUACUAAAAAUUAUUUUUGAAUUAGUAAAAUAGUUCUUUUUUUUUAUUUAUGAAUACAGAGCCCACCUCCUCCAAGCUGCUCAGCUAGUGACAAAGAAAAGGUGAAGACGUGCAUGUUCAAUACAACUUCGAUUGAUGCAUGUUGUCCAACAUUUCAGAGCAUACUUGGCACUAGUUGUCCUUGCUAUAAGUAUGCUGAGGAUUUAGACAAUCA
rnacentral:lncRNA from 1 species